rnacentral:rRNA from 1 species
UGGGGAAUCUUGGACAAUGGGCGCAAGCCUGAUCCAGCCAUGCCGCGUGAGUGACGAAGGCCUUAGGGUUGUAAAGCUCUUUUGGCGGGGACGAUAAUGACGGUACCCGCAGAAUAAGCCCCGGCUAACUUCGUGCCAGCAGCCGCGGUAAUACGAAGGGGGCUAGCGUUGUUCGGAAUUACUGGGCGUAAAGCGCACGUAGGCGGAUUUGUCAGUCAGGGGUGAAAUCCCGAGGCUCAACCUCGGAACUGCCUUUGAUACUGGCAAUCUAGAGUCCGGAAGAGGUUAGUGGAAUUCCCAGUGUAGAGGUGAAAUUCGUAGAUAUUGGGAAGAACACCAGUGGCGAAGGCGGCUAACUGGUCCGGUACUGACGCUGAGGUGCGAAAGCGUGGGGAGCAAACAGGAUUAGAUACCCAAGUAGUCCCUGAGCGGGCUGGCAAGGCGCAU